UACAGAGGUCCCAAGCGUUGUUCGGAUUCACUGGGCGUAAAGGGUGCGUAGGUGGCUUGGUAAGUUUGCUGUGAAAUCUCCGGGCUUAACCCGGAAAUGGCAUUGAAUACUAUUGAGCUGGAGGUUUGGAGGGGGGACUGGAAUUCUCGGUGUAGCAGUGAAAUGCGUAGAUAUCGAGAGGAACACCAGUGGCGAAGGCGAGUCCCUGGACAACACCUGACACUGAGGCACGAAAGCUAGGGGAGCAAACAGG
rnacentral:rRNA from 1 species